GAAGAAUUACUUGAAAUUCUUACUUUUUUUUCCCCACUUGUUUUUUUUUUUUUUUUUCCCCAGACUCUUUGAACUUUCUGGAAACAUGAAAUUGUUGUGCAAACUUUUCAGUAAUUUCUUUCUUCAAUAAUCUAAACCACCUCUCUUUUUAUUUAAAACUAGUACCCCUUGUCCUAUUCCAAGUCCUUCUCAGCAGGGCUGUUCCCAGCCUGUGGCAUGUUCACCCAGGGCGUGUCACAGCCAAGGACUGGACUUCUUUAUCCACCUGGCACCUGAAGGCUGAGAUCACCACUGAACACAACAUUUUCUGCUGCUCAUCUUCUUCCAGUGUCCCAAAUUCUGGCACUGUGGCCAGGAAUUGGGAUUGGUAAGGAAGGAGAGGUUUGAAUCCACAAGGAUUUUACCACGCUUUAGGCUCUAGCUGUGGGAGCCCCUGGAGGCACACAGAGACACAGAGGUGUCCCUGUACCCAGCUCUUCCCUGGAGGGAGCUUUGGGAAACCCUACAAGAAAGAAAAAAGUCAUAAUUCAAGGCAUAGAUUUUAAUCUGAGUAGUUAGCAGUGCAAUCAGACCCUUCCUCAAACAGACAACUGGCAAAUACCUUUUAUCAUUAUUAGCAGGUUCUUAACGUCCAAUUCUGAGGUAAUGUUUUGAUUAUUCUUUUUACCAUUAAAUUGCAUUCUACACAUCUCAAUCCUUUUAAAGAAAAGAGGGCAGAAAUCAACAUUGUCAUUUUCAAAUGGGAAAGCCAUGACACAAAAAAGUGAAAUAGCUUGUCCUAGUUUGUACAGAAAUCUGACUGCUCCCUAGUGAUCAUUAAGAAGGAUCCAGCCUAUUCUUGGCUAAUGAGGACAAAAUAUGUUGUUCUGGAUGUGGCUAAGAAAAGAUCAGACACAUUUUGUAAAAAGGUAAAGCUCACUAGAUAUCAUACCAUGUUCCUGAACCAGUGCUGUGACAGAACAAGGCUGUGUGGGACCUUUGGGAACAUCUGGGAAGCCCUGGCUCAAAGCAUAUGGAAAUAA
rnacentral:lncRNA from 1 species